rnacentral:lncRNA from 1 species
UUGGGGUUGUUGCUGUGCCGUUUUAUUGUCUCUGUUUCGGGGCUAACUCUGGUGGAAUUUGUUGGGCUUUUGCUCUGCUAAUUAUGUUUUGCCUCCAUGCAGGGAUACGUCUGGCAGUUUGCUGGGUCGCUUGUUCCCGGCUGCACCAACAAGGUUCUGGCCACAAGCACUGCAACCGGCUUGGCUCCACCAGUGACCAAGAUCGGUGCUGCGGCAGUGGCGCUCAGCGAUUGUCCAGGUGCUGCUGUGCCUAUGGAGACUGUAGCUGCUGCGGCUUCUGCUUCUGCUGCUGCUGCUGCUGCUGCUUCCUGUGCUGUUGGGUGGGCCGCCAACUGGUCGCUGCUGCUGACGUUGGGCGCUUCGGCAGAGGGUGCGCUGCCGCAGGCGGGAUUGCACUGCUGGCCGGGUAUCUCGGGUAUGGCGCAAGCUCUGCUCGGGUGCGGUCCAAUGUAGAAGGGAUUGAAGGGCCUGUCGUCCGCCAUGGUCUAGCUGGCGAGUGCAACAAGUUUGACACAAGCAGAAGCCAAAAUAAAAGCCAACGAAAUUUAGGCAAAUUUUGUUCGAUUUUCCUGAACUGUUCAGUGUGAGGUUAGCCCCAAAACUGAGCCAAGCAGUCGUCUCGACAGCUGACGGCAGCCGGAACACAACACAAAAGCCAACUUAAUGCUACG